rnacentral:rRNA from 1 species
AUACGGAGGAUGCAAGCGUUAUCCGGAUUUAUUGGGUUUAAAGGGUGCGUAGGCGGUUUGCUAAGCGGGAGGUGAAAUGCCGGCGCUCAACGUCGGAAGUGCCUCCCGAACUGGUGGACUUGAAUGACUCUGCCGUGGGAGGAAUGUGUAGUGUAGCGGUGAAAUGCUUAGAGAUUACACAGAACACCGAUUGCGAAGGCAUCUCACGAAGGGUUGAUUGACGCUGAGGCACGAAAGCGUGGGGAUCAAACAGGAUUAGAUACCCUGGUAGUCCACGCAGUAAACGAUGAUGGCUAACCGCUGGGCUUAUCAGUUCAGUGGCCAAGCGAAAGCGAUAAGCCAUCCACCCGGGGAGUACGACCGCAAGGUUGAAACUCAAAUGAAUUGACGGGG